AUUUAAAUAGUUUAAUAAAAAUAUUGGUAUGUGGGGCCAAAGAUAUUUAUAUAAAUUUUAAAUA
rnacentral:tRNA from 1 species